UCGGAUUGCAGGCUGCAACCCGCCUGCAUGAAGCUGGAAUCGCUAGUAAUCGCGGAUCAGAAUGCCGCGGUGAAUACGUUCCCGGGUCUUGUACACACCGCCCGUCACACCAUGGGAGUCGGUAACGCCCGAAGUCAGUGACCCAACCUUAAGGAGGGAACUGCCGAAGGCGGGACUGGUAACUGGGGUGAAGUCGUAACAAGGUACC
rnacentral:rRNA from 1 species